rnacentral:rRNA from 1 species
UAAGGAAUAUUGGUCAAUGGAGGCAACUCUGAACCAGCCAUGCCGCGUGCAGGAAGACAGCCCUCUGGGUCGUAAACUGCUUUUAUUCGGGAAUAAACCUCAUUACGUGUAGUGAGCUGAAUGUACCGAAGGAAUAAGGAUCGGCUAACUCCGUGCCAGCAGCCGCGGUAAUACGGAGGAUCCAAGCGUUAUCCGGAUUUAUUGGGUUUAAAGGGUGCGUAGGCGGCUUAUUAAGUCAGGGGUGAAAGACGGUGGCUCAACCAUCGCAGUGCCCUUGAUACUGAUGAGCUUGAAUGAACUAGAGGUAGGCGGAAUGUGACAAGUAGCGGUGAAAUGCAUAGAUAUGUCACAGAACACCGAUUGCGAAGGCAGCUUACUAUGGUUUUAUUGACGCUGAGGCACGAAAGCGUGGGGAUCAAACA